UACAGAGGUCCCAAGCGUUGUUCGGAUUUAUUGGGCGUAAAGGGUGCGUAGGCGGCGGAGUAAGUUGGUGUGAAAUCCGGGGCUCAACCUCGGAAUGGCAUUCGAUACUGCUUCGCUCGAGUACUGGAGAGGAGGCUGGAAUUACGGUGUAGCAGUGAAAUGCGUAGAUAUCGUAAGGAAGGCCGGUGGCGAAAGCGAGCCUCUGGACAGUUACUGACGCUGAUGCACGAAGGCAGGGGAGCAAACGGG
rnacentral:rRNA from 1 species